rnacentral:rRNA from 1 species
UACGUAGGGGGCGAGCGUUGUCCGGAAUCAUUGGGCGUAAAGAGCGUGUAGGCGGCUUGGUAAGUCCGCUGUGAAAGUCCAGGGCUCAACCCUGGAAUGCCGGUGGAAACUGUCAAGCUUGAGUCCGGAAGAGGCGAGUGGAAUUCCUGGUGUAGCGGUGAAAUGCGCAGAUAUCAGGAGGAACACCAUGGCGAAGGCAGCUCGCUGGGACGGUACUGACGCUGAGACGCGAAAGCGUGGGGAGCAAACAGGAUUAGAACCGUACGU